ensembl:lncRNA
ACUGAUUCAAAUGUAUUCUUUCUAAUGGCUGCGUAAUUGCAUCGCGUCUUCGUUGCAUCAUGUGGGACUCUUUCCUUGCAGAGUGCAGGCUCUCUAGGUGUGACAUGAGGGCUUAGUUGCCCCGCAGCGUGUGGGAUCUCAGUUCCUGACCAGAGAUAGAACGAAAGUCCCCUGGGAUUGGUUUUUAAGAUUUAUUUUUUCGGGGGGAUUUCUCUAAGUGUUUUUUGGCUGUGUUGGGUCUUCUUUACUGCACGAGGGCUUUCUCUAGUUGUAGUGAGUGGCGGCUGCUCUCUGGUUGCAGUGCACAGGCUUGUCAUUGCAGCGGCUUCUCUCGAUGUGGAGCGUGGGCUCUAGGCGUGCGAGCCUCUGAGGUGGCAGCACGUGGGCUCAGUAGUUGUAUGCGGGCUUACUUGCUCUGAGACACGUGGGAUCCUCCCAGACCAGGGAUUGAACCUCUGUCCCCUGCAUCAGCAGGCAGAUUCUCACCCACUGGACCACCAGGGGGAGCCGGCAAAGUGGAUUCUUACCCACUGGAACGCCUGGGAAGUCCCAGCCCACACGGAGCAGUCUUGCCUCCCGGCAGGUAAGAGCCAUUGGAGGAGGUGGCUCAGGGUGUGGGUGCUGCAUUGCUUGGUUUUCCUGUGAGAGUCAUGGUUCUUGAUGGUGUCUCAGAAUUGCUUGCCAAGGGAAUGGAUACAUGCACGUGCAUGGUUGAGUCCCUUCGCUGUUCACCUGAAACGAUCACAGCAUUGUUUACUGGCUAUACCCCCAAUACAAAAAAAAAAGUUUAAAAAAAAAAUUCAGACCCAAAAAAAGAGAAGAAUUUGCUGCCAAGGAAGGGGCCAUCUCUUCCCUGUCAGCGAGGCUCCCAAAAUGUCAAAGUGUCACAAAAUAUGGACAAUAUGAUUAAACAAGCUCAUUGUAGCAUUCCGGCUACAGCCUCUGUUAGAGGUUUUUACUCUCAGAAUGAGUAUUUCUCUGCAGGGGCUGAGCCUGGGGGCACCCCCCUCUGUGGGUGCAGACCCACUGCUGCAUUUGGGGAGCAAAGAGACAGCUCUGCAGAGCGGGGUGCUCCUGGGCAGAAAGAUCGGGCCUGAUAACAGUAGAGUGCACUGGAGAAGCUGGCCUGGCUCGUGAGGCUGGCUUGGCUCUGUGGCCCUUAAGGGCAAAAAUGGAGCUUGCAACAUGGAUUACCUCUAACUUUUUACCUCUAGGAAUCUUUGUAAAAUCUUGCAGGUAGACCUUUAUUGUUUAAUAUGCUCUUAUAAUGUGAACGGUUUGAUCAAGUUUCCCACUGGCUUAUCUGCUCUCAUCCUGCUGACCCGUUCCCCACCCCUGUCCCAUACACACAAUUUCCCACUGAACUCUGGGGAAAAAACUUACCAGGUCAGUGAGUUCUAUUUGUAUAUUGCUUUUUUCAUGCUAGCAGAGGAUGGUGUCAUCAUAGCAUCUCAAUUUGAUUGUUUUGGAAUGAUUUUACCAGUUAAGAAUUUGAUAUGUAUUUUUUUUACUAUUUAAUCAGAAGGGCAGGUUUGAACAUAAGUCAAUGGAGAUAAACUCAGAAAUCAUGCUUUUUCCUAUUUAGAGAUAGGCAGUGUGUUUUCACGUUCAGAAAAUGUAGAUGAUUCCUCUGGCUUUCCUUUUAUUUCCUAAGUUCAAAUCAGAAUUCAAGGUGUAAUGACAAUAUUUGACAUUUCUUGUUGCUUAAGUGAGACC